GUUGAAUUAGAAUGAAAUUGUCCGAAAGAUUAAACAGAAACUACAAAUAAUAUAAGAAACAAGUCCAAAUGUCCGAAAUAAGAAAUACAUAAAUUAGUCCGACUUUUUCCACGUUCACAGAUUUCUCCCUCCUCGAAUGAAACGCGUCCUCGCGUUUCGCAAGUAUUGAAAAGUUGAUAAUUAUCUAUAAAAAGUUUGUUGGUUGUUGAAACGGCCAUUUCCGGAACACUGACUUGCAUUGGGACGAUUGAUAUGAUGAGUCCGACAAAUCCUUAUUUGAUUAGCCAUAUCGGCAGUUUGAUCUGUUAGAGUUUUAGAUUUGUCCCGAAGUUCAUGGUUUGAGUGGUAAUAUUUCCGAUUUCAUAUGUUUGAUAUUCACAUUUUAGAAUUAAGAAAUUGUUUUGAUCUGAAAUUGUUUUCAUGCACGCAGCAUUGUCUUCCUUUUCUUUCUCUAGUUUGGUGAUUUUGUCUAAGCAUGCUUUUAACUUCUCUGUCGAAUCUAGUUGGUUCUGACUUUCCACUAGUUUGCAGGUAAGAGUCCUAAUAUUCCCUUGUGCACGUUUUAAAAGUUCUGAUGUUGCGGAAAUCACUGAUUUAUUUUUCCGUAAUUGAAUGUUUGCUUGUUUCAGUUCGACUUUUAAUGGGGCUGCCUGGUCGAAAAAGUUUACGAUAGCUGAAUUUCGAACACUGCUAAAUGGCAAUUCCCUGAGACUGUUUUUGUUUGAAAAGUACUGUAUUAAACGGCGAUUGUCUCUCUGUUGUUUUUUUGUUGAAUUCUUUUGUUCACUUGACACUUUCGAACUUGUUGAUUUAGUAUAUCGAA
rnacentral:lncRNA from 1 species